rnacentral:rRNA from 1 species
GUGCCAGCCGCCGCGGUAAUACGAAGGGGGCUAGCGUUGCUCGGAAUUACUGGGCGUAAAGCGCACGUAGGCGGUUUCUUAAGUCGGGGGUGAAAUCCUGGAGCUCAACUCCAGAACUGCCUUCGAUACUGAGAGACUUGAGUCCUGGAGAGGAAGGCGGAAUUCUCGGUGUAGAGGUGAAAUUCGUAGAUAUCGAGAGGAACACCGGUGGCGAAGGCGGGUCUCUGGGCCGUAACUGACGCUGAGGAGCGAAAGCGUGGGGAGCGAACAGGAUUAGAAACCCUGGUAGUCC